rnacentral:misc_RNA from 1 species
UAGCUAAUUUGACGCAGCACAGAGUGGCAAGCGCUUCUGCAAGACACAUAGUGGCUGUGCAGGCAACUCGGUGUGAUUAACUUCUCCGACUUUUCUUCUUAAGGCAUCUAACUUAAGUCUAGUGUUUAGACGAGAUGGAGGACGAAAAUGAUCCCGUGGCUAUGCUACGAGUCGACAAGAAGGCUCUACUAGCAGCAAACAAGGAGUUUGAAGCCAAGAAAUGGGUUUGGAUAUCAGAUCCCAAGGAAGGCUACAAAGCUGCUGAGGUUAAAAGUACCAAGGGAGAUACAUUGGUGGUUGAGACCAACGAUGGCAAAGAAGAGACCGUGAAAAAGGACAACACGGAACAGAUGAACCCUCCGAAAUUCGAGAAGACAGAGGACAUGGCAAACUUGACAUACCUCAACGAAGCUAGCGUUAUCCAUAAUUUAAAGCAGAGAUACUUUGGAGGUCUAAUUUAUACCUACUCUGGGCUUUUUUGUGUUGCUAUCAACCCUUACCGCCGUCUCCCAAUCUACACAGACAAAGUUGUGUUUGCAUACAGAGGAAAGAGGAAGAAUGAGAUGCCACCACACGUCUUCUCUAUUUGCGACAAUGCCUACCAAAACAUGUUGCAAGAUCGUGAAAACCAGUCUAUGUUGAUCACUGGUGAAUCUGGAGCAGGGAAGACAGAAAAUACGAAAAAAGUCAUCCAAUACCUGGCUCAUGUGUCAGGAGGACUUUCCCACAAAGACGAGAAAAAAUCGGGUGGCUCUCUUGAAGAUCAAGUUAUCCAAACCAACCCUAUUCUUGAAGCUUACGGCAAUGCCAAAACUAUCAGAAACAACAACUCCUCUCGAUUCGGAAAGUUUAUUCGUUGUCACUUUGGACCCCAGGGAAAACUGGCUGGAGCCGACAUUGAACAAUAUCUGCUCGAAAAAUCUCGUGUGAUCUUCCAGCAAGAAAUCGAGAGAAACUAUCACAUCUUCUACCAAAUCCUCAAAGGAGGAUCAAAAGAACUGCAUGCUGAUCUUCUGCUGGACAGCAACAGGAAAGAUGAAUACGCUUUCCUCGCAAAAGGAGCAGAAAUUGCUGAGGGUAUCGACGAUGUAGAGGAAUUCCAUAAUACUGAGGUUGCUGCCGACACUCUUGGCUUCACUCCAGAGGAAAAGAUUAGCAUGUACAAAAUCUGUGCUGCAUGUCUUCAUUGGGGAAAUGGGAAAUUCAAGCAAAGACCACGAGAAGAACAAGCAGAAGUUGCUGACCCGAAAGAUCUCGAUAAGGUUUCAUUCUUGCUCAAGCUUCCUGGAGCUGAUUUCAUCAAGAACAUCAUCAAACCAAGAAUUAAAGUCGGACGUGAAUAUGUUAACCAAGGACGUAACGUACAACAGGUUCAUUACUCCAUUGGUGCANUGACUAAGAGUUUGUACGAAAGAAUGUUCUUGUGGCUUGUCGACAAGGCAAACCAGACUCUAAUGACCAAGGACAGACGUGCCUUCUUCAUUGGUGUGUUGGAUAUCGCAGGCUUUGAAAUUUUCCAGUUCAACUCUUUUGAGCAGCUUUGCAUCAACGUCACAAAUGAAAAGCUUCAACAGUUCUUCAACCAUCACAUGUUCGUUCUGGAGCAAGAAGAGUACAAGAGAGAGGGUAUCCAUUGGGAGUUCAUCGACUUUGGUCUUGAUUUGCUUCCAACCAUUGAUCUCAUCUUUGCAAAGGGAACUGGUAUUUUUGCCGUCCUUGAGGAGGAGUGCAUCGUACCCAAGGCAACUGAUCAAACUCUCUUGAGCAAACUCAUGAGUACUCAUGAUGGUAAAUCAGUCAAGUUUGGUAAACCAAAGAUCAGUGGCAAGAAGACCAUCAACUACCACUUCGAGAUCCACCAUUACGCUGGUACUGUAGGUUAUAACAUUGACAGCUGGCUGGACAAAAACAAGGACCCCAUAAAUGAAGCCGUGGCUGGAAUCUUCGCCAAGUCUGGCGAUCCAUUCAUUGCCCAGUUGUGGAAAGACUACGCAACUGAAGGCCACAGCAGAAAAGGUGGUUCCUUCAUGACUGUCAGUGCCAAACACAAGGAACAACUGAACAAGUUGAUGGACACCCUUUAUUCAACUUCUCCUCACUUCGUUCGUUGCAUCAUCCCCAACGAAAUGAAAAAAGCUGGAGUAAUUGACACAAACUUGGUUCUUCACCAACUGAGAUGUAACGGUGUGCUUGAGGGUAUNCGUAUCUGCCGAAAAGGUUUCCCCAACAGAAUUCCCUUCCAAGAAUUCAAACAGAGAUACCAGAUCCUUGCACCUACUGCGUGCUCCGGACAAUUCAUGGAUGGUAAAAAGGCAUGCGAGAAAUUGCUUGGAGCCUUGACUCUUGAAGAGAAUGAGUACAGAAUUGGUACAACCAAAGUGUUCUUCAGAGCUGGUGUUUUGGGUCAACUUGAAGACAUGCGUGAUGAGCGACUUGCAAAGAUCAUCUCUAUGUUCCAAGCUUACUGCAAAGGUUUUCUUAUGCGAAAGGAGUAUCGCAAGAUGUGCGACCAGAGAAUCGGAAUUUCAGUCAUCCAGAGAAACGUCCGAAAGUAUCUGUACCUGAGAAACUGGAACUGGUGGAAGCUGUAUACAAAGGUGAAGCCUCUACUUCAAGUUGCACGUGCUGACGAAGAGAUGAAACAGAAGAUGGAACAGUUGAAAGAAAUCGAAGAGAAAGCCGCCAAGGAAGAGGCACUGCGAAAAGAACUCGAAGAAAAAUACACCAAACUUGUUGAAGAGAAAAACCAGCUUUUCCAAGAUUUAGAGAGGGAGCAAGAUGCAUCCGCAGACGCCGAGGAAAGAGCCGCCGCGUUAGAAGCAAAAAAGAACGAUCUCGAAGCUCAACUGAAAGAAAUGUCAGACCAGCUUGAAGAUGAGGAAGACGCCAGCGCCGAGCUCUCCAAUGUAAAACAUAAAUUAGAAUCUGAAAUAUCCGAAAUGAAACAAGACAUCGAAGAACUCGACAGCGCUCUCAAAAAGGCUGAGGAAGAGGGCAAGCAAAAAGAUAAGAAUAUCGAACAGCUCAACGAAGAGUUGCAACAACAAGAUGAAGCUAUCGCAAAGGUCUCUAAACAGAAGAAGCAAGUCGAAGAGCAGUGCGCGGAACUCGAGGACCAAUUACAAGAAGAACAAAACAAAGUUAACCAUCUUAACAAAGUUAAAACAAAAUUAGAACAAGAACUCGACGAGACACAAAUGAACUGGGAAAGAGAAAAGAAACUCCGAGCAGAUGUCGAGAAAGUAAAACGAAAGGUUGAGGGUGAGCUCAAGUCAACACAAGACACUCUUGCAGAAGUCGAGGCAGCGAAACAAAAAUCCGAGGAAGAAGUCAAAAAGCGCGACCAAAAUAUUUCUCAGUUGAAUUCAAAAAUAGACGACCAAUCAUCUCUCAUCGAACAGUUAAAGAAAAAGAUCAAACAACUCGAGGCCCGAAUCGCCGAACUUGAAGAAGAACUAGAAAAUGAAAGAAACAACCGCAGCAAGGCCGAACGAGCACGAAACGAACUCGAACAAGAACUAGAUGACUUGAAUGACAGACUUGACGAAGCUGGCGGUGCAACUGCAGCUCAGAUGGAUCUAAACAAAAAACGAGAACAAGACAUUGUCAAACUCCGAAAGGAUUUAGAAGAGCAAGCGUUAGCAAACGAACAGACUGUCAAUAGCAUGCGCGCCAAACAAAACCAAGCUCUACAAGAAAUGCAGGAUGAACUGGACAACGUCAAAAAGUCCAAACAAAAACUCGAAAAAGAAAAAAGCCUGCUUCAAAACGAAGGAGAUGACCUCGCUGUUACCGUGGAAACUUUGCAGAAGCAGAAACAAGCAGCAGAAAAAAAUAACCGCGCCCUGAACGAUUCUCUCAAUGAAGCUAAAUCACAGAANGAUGAAUUUAGAAAGACAAUAAGUGAACUCGAAGUCGUCAGAGGACGUUUCACUCAAGAAAAUGCCGAAUUGGGCAGAGUUGUCGAGGAACUCGAAAACAAAAAUUCGCAACUCGGAAAGAACAAAAAGAACCUCGAACAACAGCUAGAAGAAUUCAAGAAACAGCUUGAAGACGAAAUGCGCGCGAAAGCAGAAGCUGCCAAUCGACUGAAAAACCUCGAGGCAGACUAUGACACACUUCAAGAAAACUUUGAAGAACUCGAAGAUGGCAAAGCCGACAUGCAGAAACAACUUUCUCGUGCUAAUACAGAACUUCAACAAUGGAAAAACAAAUACGAGCAAGAAGGAGUAGCCAAACUUGAAGAACUUGAGGAUGCCAAGCGAAAAAUGGCCGCUAAGCUCUCAGAAACGGAGGAAGCUCUGAAUGCUGCCCUCACUAAAGCCGCCAGUGCUGAGAAAGCCAAGAACAGNCUCAACAGUGAACUUGAGGAUGCUAUCAUUGACUUGGAGAAGGCUACUACCAAUAACUCUGCAUUAGAGAAACGGCAGAAGAANAUCGACCAAGAAAUCAAUGAAUGGAAAGCCAAACUUGACGAAGUUCAAAGUGACUUGGACAUGGCCCAGAAAGAAGCCAGAAACUAUUCCACUGAGAUGUAUAGACUCAAAGGAACAAACGACGAACUCAANGAGCUCCUCGAGUCACUCAAACGAGAGAACAAAGCCCUUCAAGGCGAGGUUGCUGAUUUGGGUGACCAGCUUGGCGAGGGAGGCAAGAGCGUUGUUGAACUUGGCAAACUGAAGAAACGUCUUGAGAUGGAGAAGGAAGAAUUGCAGACCGCUGUUGAGGAAGCCGAAGGUGCUUUGGAGGCAGAGGAAGGAAAGGUCCUCAAGAUUCAACUUGAGUUAACCCAACUCAGGCAAGAAUUCGAGCGCAAGCUUGCUGACCGAGAUGAAGAAAUUGACAAUCUCAGGAAGAACCAACAACGCCAACUUGAUGCUCUCCAAGGAUCUCUUGAUAACGAAGUUAAGGCCAAGAAUGAACAGGCCCGUCUCAGGAAGAAGUUUGAGAGUGACUGCAUUGAACUUGAGAACAACUGUGAAAAUCUCAUGCGGGGCAACCAAGAGUUCCAGAAAAAUGUCAAGAAACUCCAGCAACAAGUGAAAGACCUGCAACUCAUGGUUGAAGAGGAACAACGUGGACGUGACGACGCCCGUGACGCUAGUGCUCGUGCUGAGCGCCGUGUUGGAGAGCUUUCUGCUGAACUUGAAGAUUUGAGAAACCAACUCGAACAGGCUGACCGUGCAAGACGUGCAGCUGACCAAGAGAAAAGCGAGGCUGUUGACAGAGUUACAGAGCUCACCACCCAAACCAACAACCUUCAACAGGCCAAACGUAAACUGGAUGGACAAAUCAGCACAAUGCAAGAUGAGCUUGAUGAUGCUGAAAACGAAGCCAAGGCAGCUGAUGAACGUGCCAAGAAGGCCGCUGCUGAUCUUCUUCGAGUUCAAGCNGAUCUUCUUUCUGCCCAAGAUGCUGCUGGUGCUGCUGAACGCGCACGCUUGUCUGCUGAGCGCAUCCAGAAUGAGCUGCAGAUGAANAUCGAGGAACUUGAAGCUGCUGGUGGAAAGGCUCUCAAAAACCAAAUCAAGAAACUUGAACAGAGAGUGAAGGAGCUCGAGCGUGACUUGGACACAGAAGCCAAACGCAGCAACGAAUCUCAGAAACUUGCAAAGAAGAACGAGCGCCGAAUGAAGGAAAUCCAAUUCCAGGCUGACGAGGACCAGAAGAACUUAUCCCGCGCCCAAGAAAAUUCUGAAAGACUUAACAAUAAAAUCAAGAAAAUGCGCGUUGCGGUUGAAGAGGCGGAAGCACUUGCUGCUUCAAAUCUCGCUCGUUACCGCAAGGUCCAGGGAGAGCUUGAGGAAGCCGAAGAGAGGAUUGAAGGAUUGGAAAGCUCCCUGCAAAAGGCUCGUGGUCGUGGCGGUGGCCGUUCAAGUGGUGUGAUGAGGACAUCAUCAAGAGAGACCUCUAAACGACGUCAGAAGUGAAUAAGGAUUCCCAAAUAUGAGAAAUAGAAAGAAACACUACUAAAAAACCUACAGUACAUCUCGUAGGGGCUAUUCAUCUACUAGAAGUGGAUCAUCAGCAUCAUUAGACGACGAAUAAAGAAUUUCUUGAAUUAAACGCACAUAAACAAAACUUUUUAUUAGUAUAAUCAACUAACUCAAUGAGCACAACAAUUUCUAAUGAUCUUAUAUUAGUAUUUGUAUUACCCUCAAAAUCCAAAGUAACUAGUACAAAAACGGAGUUUGAUACUUCUUCUAGAGCCUUUUCAACUAUGGCUGUUUAUCUUAGAGAGGUGCGGCCGUUGAUUGCGAGGCUUGUACUAGCUAAGGGCUCUAUUAAGUACAUUUUUUGUAUUCAGAACAAUAUUAGGAUAUUUUUUCUAUUUUCUAGUCGGAGAAAUAAGANCCAGUUAGCAUCAUUGCCAUGGUUGUGUAGAGUCAGCCAUUUUGUGUUGUUGUAAUAGAAGUGCACUUAUUAAACAAGGUGAAUCUAAU